UACGGAGGGUGCAAGCGUUAAUCGGAAUUACUGGGCGUAAAGUGUACGUAGGUGGUUUGUUAAGCCAGCUGUGAAAUCCCGGGGCUCAACCUGGGCACUGCAGUUGGAACUGGCAAGCUAGAGUAGGGUAGAGGGGUGUGGAGUUCCAGGUGUAGCGGUGAAAUGCGUAGAUAUCUGGAGGAACAUCAGUGGCGAAGGCGACACCCUGGACUCAUACUGACACUGAGGUGCGAAAGUGUGGGGAUCAAACAGG
rnacentral:rRNA from 1 species